rnacentral:tRNA from 1 species
GGGGCUGGGGCUCUGUGGUAGAGCGCUUGCCUAGCAUGCAUGAGGCACUAGGUUUGAUUCUCAGCACCA